GGUUAAGCGACUAAGCGUACACGGUGGAUGCCCUGGCAGUCAGAGGCGAUGAAGGACGUGCUAAUCUGCGAUAAGCGUCGGUGAGGUGAUAUGAACCGUUAUAACCGGCGAUUUCCGAAUGGGGAAACCCAGUGUGUUUCGACACACUAUCAUUAACUGAAUCCAUAGGUUAAUGAGGCGAACCGGGGGAACUGAAACAUCUAAGUACCCCGAGGA
rnacentral:rRNA from 1 species